UUUUCGGAGAGUUUGAUCCUGGCUCAGGACGAACGCUGGCGGCGUGCCUAAUACAUGCAAGUCGAGCGGACAGAAGGGAGCUUGCUCCCGGAUGUUAGCGGCGGACGGGUGAGUAACACGUGGGUAACCUGCCUGUAAGACUGGGAUAACUCCGGGAAACCGGAGCUAAUACCGGAUAGUUCCUUGAACCGCAUGGUUCAAGGAUGAAAGACGGUUUCGGCUGUCACUUACAGAUGGACCCGCGGCGCAUUAGCUAGUUGGUGGGGUAAUGGCUCACCAA
rnacentral:rRNA from 1 species